CAAGAACGUCGUGCUUUAUUCAAUAGGAAACCUUUUCAGAAAGGUAGAACGUCCCUUUCUCAGAAAGGCCGUCCUCGCCUCUCUCUUCUUGGUCUAUCAUUUAAUUGGGGCGCCCCAGAAAGUCGCAGGCCCUUUGGCUAAUCCCUUGAUUCCCUAUUCGACUCACUCCAUUCUCAGACCCCGCCCCUUCGCUCCCACCCGCAACCUCCGCUCCAGCCAGAGCCCCCCGCAGGGAACAAGGAACGUGGGAAACAACACUAAUCCUGCGGGAGAACCAGCACCCGUGGCAAACCAGGACGCGCUCCCGCCUUCCCCCACGAAGGGACGGCGCGCAGUCCCCGCGGGCUCCCGGCCGCGCCGUCGGGGCAGCGGGCUCGGCCCCGCCCGCCCCGCACGCCGAGCGGCCGGGGUGGGGACUACAAGUCCCGGCGUGCCGCGCGCGCGCUCCCCCCUGGGGUUCCGGAUGGUGAGCGGCGAAGGUAAGGCGAGCUCGCAGAGGCAGCGGCGGCGGCGGCGGAGACGGAGAGAGGCAGGCAGGCAGGGCGAGGNNNNNNNNNNNNNNNNNNNNNNNNNNNNNNNNNNNNNNNNNNNNNNNNNNNNNNNNGGGCGGGCAGAGCGAGCCACCCGCCAGGCUGCGCUCAGCCCCGCUCGCAGCGGAGAGAGCAGAAGGCAGGAGGAGGGAGGGGAGGAGGAGGAGGGAGGGAGAGAGGGAAUCCAGCUACCACCACCCAAAGCCAGCGUCUGCUUUCUGUCCUCAUUUCCUUUUCCCACCCAGCUCGGAAAGCAGAGAAAGGCAGAGAGAGCGAGAGAUAGAGACAGUCAGAGAGACAGACAGACAGCCGGAGAGCGGGAGGGAGGAGGGCGGAGGAGGAGGAGCAGGAGGAGGACUACGCGGGGCGCGUUCCCUCCCAGCAGCCGGGCGCCCGCGUCGCUGCCGCCGCCGGAAGACAGACGCCCCCCAAAGCCCCUCGCCUGGCUCGGACCCACGGAGCCGGCAGCCCAGCACUCCGGAAGGAGCAUUAAGACCAAAAGGGAUUUCGCAGCUGCAGGACACAUGGCCCUGUCCUCAGAAGCCCCAGUCUGAGAUGAGAAGCACAGCCCUGGCCUUGGGAGCCCUCAAACCCAGAGGUGAGGUCUAGAACCCAGGCUGGGCGUGUGCUGAGGUUCAGGUGGGGAGCGGGUGGUGCUGGGUGCCUGGCCGGUGAUGGCUUCCUGAAGCAAAGGCUCGGGCUAGGGGGAGGUUGAAGGACGGGUGGUGAUUUGCCUAGGGGCCUGGAGAGCCAUCUUUGGUUGAAGGGGCGGAGGGGGGAGCCUGGAAGUGUCUGGCUUUCCCACAGGCCUGGGCAGCAAUAAACUGGAGUUCUGGGGCCCUUCUGGCUCCCCA
rnacentral:lncRNA from 1 species